rnacentral:rRNA from 1 species
UCAAGCUACAAAGGGCGCAUGGUGAAUGCCUUGGCAUCAGGAGCCGAUGAAGGACGUGAUAAGCUGCGAUAAGCUUCGGGUAGGCGCACAUAGCCUGAGAUCCGAAGAUCUCCGAAUGAGGAAACUCACAUGGGAAACCCCAUGUAUCAUUAAGUGAAUACAUAGCUUAAUGAAGGUAACCCAGGGAACUGAAACAUCUAAGUACCUGGAGGAAGAGAAAGAAAAAUCGAUUUUCUUAGUAGCGGCGAGCGAAAGGGAAAAAGCCCAAACCGGAAACUUGUUUCCGGGGUUGUGGACAGAACAUAACGAUUGGUAGGACGUAAUCGAAGAGAACUGGAAAGUUCCACCGUAGAAGGUAAUAGUCCUGUAGAUGAAACGGGAAAUCAAUCAGUUCUGAUCCAGAGUACCACGAGACACGUGAAACCUUGUGGGAAGCAGGGAGGACCACCUCCCAAGGCUAAAUACUACCUGAUGACCGAUAGUGAAGCAGUACCGUGAGGGAAAGGUGAAAAGAACCCCGGGAGGGGAGUGAAAUAGAACCUGAAACCGUGUGCCUACAACCGCUCAGAGCCCCUUAUGAGGGUGAUGAGGUGCUUUUUGUAGAACGAGCCAACGAGUUACGGUAUGUAGCAAGGUUAAGUACUUAAGGUACGGAGCCGAAGGGAAACCGAGUCUGAAUAGGGCGACUAGUUGCAUGCCGUAGACCCGAAACCGGGUGACCUAUCCAUGGCCAGGUUGAAGCGAGGGUAAAACCUCGUGGAGGACCGAACCACGUUGCUGUUGAAAAAGCAUGGGAUGAGCUGUGGAUAGCGGAGAAAUUCCAAUCGAACCCGGAGAUAGCUGGUUCUCUCCGAAAUAGCUUUAGGGCUAGCGUCGAGUAUGAGUAGUGGAGGUAGAGCACUGAAUGGGCUAGGGGGCAUAGCGCUUACCGAACCUUAUCAAACUCCGAAUGCCACAUACUUUGAGCUCGGCAGUCAGACUACGAAUGAUAAGAUCCGUGGUCAAAAGGGAAACAGCCCAGAUCGUCAGCUAAGGUCCCAAAGUGUAAGUUAAGUGGGAAAGGAUGUGAGAUUUCUAAGACAACUAGGAUGUUGGCUUAGAAGCAGCCAUUCAUUAAAAGAGUGCGUAAUAGCUCACUAGUCGAGAGAUCUUGCGCCGAAAAUGUAACGGGGCUAAACUUACCACCGAAGCUACGGGCUUGAACUUAGUUCAAGCGGUAGGAGAGCGUCGUAACCGGGCUGAAGUCGUACCGUAAGGAGCGGUGGACUGGUUACGAGUGAGAAUGUUGGCAUCAGUAGCGAGAUGUGGGUGAGAAUCCCACAGGCCGAAAACCUAAGGUUUCCUCAGGAAGGUUCGUCCGCUGAGGGUUAGUCGGGACCUAAGCCGAGGCCGAAAGGCGUAGGUGAUGGACAACUGGUUGAUAUUCCAGUACCACUACCAUCGUUAUUAUCGAUGGCGUGACGCAGGAGGAUAGUGUGUGCUAGCUAUUGGAUGCUAGUCUAAGCGUUUAGGCAGUGAGAGUAGGCAAAUCCGCUCUCAUAAUGCUGAGGCGUGAUGGGGAAGGUUCUACGGAACCGAAGUACAUGAUUCCACGCUGCCAAGAAAAGCGUCUAGAGAGAGAAGUAGUGCCCGUACCGCAAACCGACACAGGUAGGUGAGGAGAGAAUCCUAAGGCCGGCGGAAGAAUUACAGUUAAGGAACUCGGCAAAUUGACCCCGUAAGUUCGCGAGAAGGGGUGCCUACGAGAGUAGGCCGCAGAGAAUAGGCCCAAGCAACUGUUUAGCAAAAACACAGGUCUCUGCUAAAGCGUAAGCUGAUGUAUAGGGGCUGACGCCUGCCCGGUGCUGGAAGGUUAAGGGGAACACUUAGCGUAAGCGAAGGUGUGAACUUAAGCCCCAGUAAACGGCGGCCGUAACUAUAACGGUCCUAAGGUAGCGAAAUUCCUUGUCAGGUAAGUUCUGACCCGCACGAAUGGCGUAAUGACUUGGGCACUGUCUCAACUGUAAAUCCGGCGAAGUUGUAGUGCGAGUGAAGAUGCUCGCUACCCGCGAUUGGACGGAAAGACCCCGUAGAGCUUUACUGUAGCUUAGCAUUGAGUUUUGGUAUUGUCUGUACAGGAUAGGUGGGAGACUAGGAAACCAGGGCGUCAGCCUUGGUGGAGUCAACCUUGGGAUACCACCCUGACAGUACUGAAAUUCUAACUGGCGGCCAUGAAUCUGGUCACAGGACAUUGUUAGGUGGGCAGUUUGACUGGGGCGGUCGCCUCCUAAAAAGUAACGGAGGCGCCCAAAGGUUCCCUCAGAACGGUCGGAAAUCGUUCGAAGAGUGCAAAGGCAGAAGGGAGCCUGACUGCGACACCCACAAGUGGAGCAGGGACGAAAGUCGGGCUUAGUGAUCCGGUGGUACCUCGUGGGAGGGCCAUCGCUCAACGGAUAAAAGCUACCUCGGGGAUAACAGGCUGAUCUCCCCCAAGAGUCCACAUCGACGGGGAGGUUUGGCACCUCGAUGUCGGCUCGUCGCAUCCUGGGGCUGAAGUAGGUCCCAAGGGUUGGGCUGUUCGCCCAUUAAAGCGGCACGCGAGCUGGGUUCAGAACGUCGUGAGACAGUUCGGUCCCUAUCCGUCGCGGGCGUAGGAAAUUUGAGAGGAGCUGUCCUUAGUACGAGAGGACCGGGAUGGACUGACCUCUGGUGUACCAGUUGUUCCGCCAGGAGCACAGCUGGGUAGCUAAGUCGGGAAUGGAUAAACGCUGAAAGCAUCUAAGCGUGAAGCCAACCUCAAGAUGAGAUUUCCCAUAGCAUAAGCUAGUAAGAUCCCUUGAAGAACACAAGGUUGAUAGGUCGGGGGUGUAAGCAUGGUAACAUGUUCAGCUGACCGAUACUAAUAGAUCGAGGGCUUGACCAA